AGAGUUUGAUCAUGGCUCAGAGUGAACGCUGGCGGCGUGCUUAACACAUGCAAGUCGAACGAGAACGGGUAUCAGCUUGCUAAUACUGUCAGCUAAGUGGCGCACGGGUGAGUAAUAUAUAGGUAACGUGCCUUCGAGAAGGGGAUAACAAUUGGAAACGAUUGCUAAUACCCUAUAUGCCUUUAAGUCCUAAGACUGCAAGGGAAAUAUUUAUAGCUCGAAGAUCGGCCUGUACAGUAUCAGUUAGUUGGUGAGGUAAUGGCUCACCAAGACAAUGACGCUUAACUGGUUUGAGAGGAUGAUCAGUCACACUGGAACUGAGACACGGUCCAGACUCCUACGGGAGGCAGCAGUGGGGAAUAUUGCACAAUGGAGGAAACUCUGAUGCAGCAACGCCGCGUGGAGGAUGACACAUUUCGGUGCGUAAACUCCUUUUAUAUAGGAAGAUAAUGACGGUACUAUAUGAAUAAGCACCGGCUAACUCCGUGCCAGCAGCCGCGGUAAUACGGAGGGUGCAAGCGUUACUCGGAAUCACUGGGCGUAAAGAGCGUGUAGGCGGAUAGUUAAGUUUGAAGUGAAAUCCUAUGGCUCAACCAUAGAACUGCUUUGAAAACUGAUUAUCUAGAAUAUGGGAGAGGUAGAUGGAAUUUCUGGUGUAGGGGUAAAAUCCGUAGAGAUCAGAAGGAAUACCGAUUGCGAAGGCGAUCUACUGGAACAUUAUUGACGCUGAGACGCGAAAGCGUGGGGAGCAAACAGGAUUAGAUACCCUGGUAGUCCACGCCCUAAACGAUGUACACUAGUUGUUGUGAGGCUAGACCUUGCAGUAAUGCAGUUAACACAUUAAGUGUACCGCCUGGGGAGUACGGUCGCAAGAUUAAAACUCAAAGGAAUAGACGGGGACCCGCACAAGCGGUGGAGCAUGUGGUUUAAUUCGACGAUACGCGAAGAACCUUACCUGGACUUGACAUAGUAAGAACUUUCUAGAGAUAGAUUGGUGUCUGCUUGCAGAAACUUAUAUACAGGUGCUGCACGGCUGUCGUCAGCUCGUGUCGUGAGAUGUUGGG
rnacentral:rRNA from 1 species